GCCUGGGUGGCUCACUGGGUUGAGCGUCUGACUUCAGCUCAGGUCAUGAUCUCGCGGUGUGUGGGUUCAAGCCCCGCAUCGGGCU
rfam:Felis catus isolate Cinnamon breed Abyssinian chromosome E1, whole genome shotgun sequence.